GCUUGCUUUUCUGAUGACGACCGGCGCACGGGUGCGUAACGCGUAUACAACCUACCUUUUAGCGGGGAAUAGCCCAGGGAAACUUGGAUUAAUGCCCCAUAGUAUAUAAACUUCUCCUGAAAUUUAUAUUAAACAUUUAUGGCUAUUAGAUGGGUAUGCGUCCUAUUAGUUAGUUGGUAAGGUAACGGCUUACCAAGGCAGCGAUAGGUAGGGGUCCUGAGAGGGAGAUCCCCCACACUGGUACUGAGACACGGACCAGACUCCUACGGGAGGCAGCAGUGAGGAAUAUUGGACAAUGGGCGAGAGCCUGAUCCAGCCAUGCCGCGUGCAGGAAGACUGCCCUAUGGGUUGUAAACUGCUUUUACAGAGGAAGAACCACCCCCACGUGUGGGGGUUUGACGGUACUCUGCGAAUAAGGAUCGGCUAACUCCGUGCCAGCAGCCGCGGUAAUACGGAGGAUCCAAGCGUUAUCCGGAAUCAUUGGGUUUAAAGGGUCCGUAGGCGGGCAGUUAAGUCAGUGGUGAAAGUCUUCCGCUCAACGGGAGAACUGCCAUUGAUACUGAUUGUCUUGAGUUAUUAUGAAGUGGUUAGAAUGAGUAGUGUAGCGGUGAAAUGCAUAGAUAUUACUCAGAAUACCGAUUGCGAAGGCAGAUCACUAAUAAUAUACUGACGCUGAUGGACGAAAGCGUAGGUAGCGAACAGGAUUAGAUACCCUGGUAGUCUACGCCGUAAACGAUGGUUACUAGCUGUUCGGCCCAAUUGAGGGCUGAGUGGUUAAGCGAAAGUGAUAAGUAACCCACCUGGGGAGUACGUUCGCAAGAAUGAAACUCAAAGGAAUUGACGGGGGCCCGCACAAGCGGUGGAGCAUGUGGUUUAAUUCGAUGAUACGCGAGGAACCUUACCAGGGCUUAAAUGUAGUCUGACAGGUCUGGAAACAGACUUUUCUUCGGACAGAUUACAAGGUGCUGCAUGGUUGUCGUCAGCUCGUGCCGUGAGGUGUCAGGUUAAGUCCUAUAACGAGCGCAACCCCUGUGGUUAGUUGCCAGCGAGUAAUGUCGGGAACUCUAGCCAGACUGCCGGUGCAAACCGCGAGGAAGGUGGGGAUGACGUCAAAUCAUCACGGCCCUUACGUCCUGGGCCACACACGUGCUACAAUGGUAGGGACAGAGAGCAGCCACUUCGCGAGAAGGAGCGAAUCUACAAACCCUAUCACAGUUCGGAUCGCAGUCUGCAACUCGACUGCGUGAAGCUGGAAUCGCUAGUAAUCGCAUAUCAGCCAUGAUGCGGUGAAUACGUUCCCGGGCCUUGUACACACCGCCCGUCAAGCCAUGGAAGCCGGGGGUA
rnacentral:rRNA from 1 species